GGUACAUAGCCACAACACCCGCCCCAGAUGAAAUAUUUUUCAACCAAAAACUACACUAUUGUCAAUACCGAACACCUUCCCCUAACGAAUUCGUUAAAAUUGUCAAAAAGUUGGCACAUAAUAACAAUAGCAUGACCUACAUGGAGUUCCACUGUCCCUUCCUGACUCCUAUAUAUGACCACGUGAUAUUUUUCUGUAAGACUCAAAUUAAAUUAGCCUUCUCAUGCUUUGUGUAAUUUCAAUUCAAAAGAUUAGUCCGGUCCAGCCCCUCAAGAGAAACCGUGGAACAAAGAAAAGCUGAGGUCUUUACAUAUAUGGAGAAGGUAAGCCGGAUUUGGAAAUGGGGAUCUCUUGUUGGCUGCUUAGGAGUGAUUUUCCUGUUUGUGUUCUUGCUUGCUGAUUCUUCGGAGAAGACACCAUUGAGGAGACUUCUAUCAUCAAAACGCAAUGUCCGAGAACCAAAUCUUGAUGUAAAACUGAUUACCCAUGAUCGUGAGCAGGUGGUGGUGAAUAAUGGCAUCGUGCGAGUCAUUUUGUCGAGGCCUGACGGUCAUGUCUUGGGAAUACAGUACAAUGGAAUAGAUAAUUUACUUGACAGAGAAAAUGAAGAAUAUGAUAGAGGGUAUUUGGAUGUUGUAUGGAACGAACCAGGAAAAGCUGGUGUCUUUGAGAGAAUAAGAGGAACAAUAUUUAGAGUUAUAACUGCGAACAAAGACCAAGUAGAACUUUCAUUUACAUCCACAUGGAAAAGUUCGCUCCGUGAAAAAGUUCCUUUCAUUAUAGACAAAAGGUACAUAUUCCGGCGUAACGUUUCGGGAUAUUAUUUCUACGCAAUAUUUGAGCGCCUUGAAGGAUGGCCUAAGGUUGAAGUGGAUCAAAUUAGGAUUGUUUACAAGCUCCAUCAAGACAAAUUUCGGUUCAUGGCGAUAUCCGACGGUAUGCAAAGGAUCAUGCCAUCGGCGGAAGACCGCGCCAAGGGUGAGCCCCUCGCUUACCCUGAAGCUGUUCUUUUGACCAAUACAAGCAAUCCUAAAUUAAGAGGAGAGGUGGAUGACAAGUACCAGUACUCGGUGGAGAACAAAGACAAUAAGGUUCAGGGGUGGAUAUGCGAAGAUGACCCAGCCGUGGGAUUCUGGAUGAUCACACCCAGCAAUGAGUUUCGUACAUCGGGUCCCAACAAGCAAGACCUCACUUCCCAUGUGGGCCCCACUAACCUCAAUAUGUUCGUUAGUACUCACUAUGCUGGGAAGGAAGUAGGGAUGAAAUUUGCAGAGGGUGAGCCAUGGAAAAAGGUUUUUGGUCCUUCAUUUAUAUAUCUUAACAAGGUUUCCAAAGGAGAAGAUCCCCUUGAGCUUUGGUCAGAUGCUAAAUUGAAGAUGCUAAAUGAAGUCAAUAGCUGGCCAUACAAUUUCAUCCAAUCGAAAGAUUAUCCUACUUCUCAUCAACGUGGAAGUGUUGCAGGUCAAUUGCUAGUUCGUGACAGGUACAUUAACGAGAGACUAAUGUGGGCACAAUUAGCUUAUAUUAAUUGGUUUGGCCGCUCCUGGAGAGAAGGGAUCUUGGCAAAGAGAAAGCAAGGGUUAUCAAUUUUGGACCCAAGCCGACAAGGAGGGCUAUUUCGAAAUUAAAAAUGUCCAUCCUGGGAACUAUAAUUUAUAUGCAUGGGUCCCUGGCUUCAUAGGGGAUUACAAAGCUGCUACCACGAUUUCUAUUAUGGCAGGUGGGAAAGUACAAUUGGGAACCGUUAGAUAUGGGCCUCCAAGACAAGGUCCUACCCUGUGGGAAAUUGGCAUCCCUGACCGCACCGCGGCUGAGUUCUAUGUACCAAACCCAUAUGCAACACUCCUGAACACUGUGUACACCACCACAACAUCUAACAAUUUCAGGCAAUAUGGCUUGUGGGAAAGGUAUUCAGAUAUGUACCGUAAUCAGGAUUUUAUCUACACUGUAAAUGUCAGUGAUUAUAGUAAAGAUUGGUUCUUCGCUCAUGUUAACAGGCGUACAAAUAAUCGGACAUACGAAGCAACUACGUGGCAGAUUCAUUUUGAACUUGAAACUGUGUACAACAAUGGAAACUACACACUCCGGUUGGCCUUGGCUUCAGCCACUAAUUAACGCUGAAUUGCAGGUUUGGUUCAACGAUGCCACAGCCUAUCCUCCUCACUUUUCAACAGGGGUUAUAGGCGGGGACAACGCCAUCGCGAGGCAUGGAAUUCAUGGGCUAUAUUGGUUGUACAACAUUGAUGUAGCAAGCAAUCUACUCCAAGAAGGAAAGAACAUAAUAUUUCUCAGACAGUCAAGGAGCACGAGUCAAUUUCAAGGAGUCAUGUAUGACUACCUUCGUCAAGAAAGGCUUCCUGAAAAUUGAUCGUGUAGAAGAUGUCACAUAUUGAUUUCUCUCUAGGAAAAAUACCUUGAUGCAUAUACAAGUACCAUGUAGAAAAGUAGCCAUGAGUAGUAUAGUAUAUAAAGCCUUUAGGCAGAGAAUCAACCACGACAAUUUAGUUCAAAAGGGAAAUGAAAUUUUGUUGUUAUUACCAAACCCACCUCAUUCAGAUAUGUUCCUUCUUGUAUGUCAUUGAAACCCCAACUCCCUUACAAAUCUCUAGGAG